rnacentral:rRNA from 1 species
ANUGGGCGAAGCCUGAUGCAGCAACGCCGCGUGGGGGAUGAAGCUUCUCGGAGUGUAAACCCCUUUCGACCCGGACGAAUGUCCGCAAGGACUUGACGGUACGGGUAUAAGAAGCCCCGGCUAACUACGUGCCAGCAGCCGCGGUAAUACGUAGGGGGCCAGCGUUGCUCGGAAUUACUGGGCGUAAAGGGUCCGUAGGCGGUGCGGUAAGUCGGGAGUGAAAUCUCUGGGCUUAACUCAGAGGCUGCUUCCGAAACUACCGUGCUCGAGUGCGAGAGAGGCGAGUGGAAUUGCGGGUGUAGCGGUGAAAUGCGUAGAUAUCCGCAGGAACAUCCGAGGCGAAAGCGGCUCGCUGGAUCGCAACUGACGCUGAGGGACGAAAGCUAGGGGAGCAAACAGGAUUAGAUACCCUGGUAGUCCUAGCCCUAAACCAUCAGGACUUGGGGUUUGCCCUGUACGGGGCAUGUCCCGUAGCUAACGCGUUAAGUCCUGCGCCUGGGGAGUACGGUCGCAAGGCUGAAACUCAAAAAAAUUGACGGA